UAACUCCGGGAAACCGGGGCUAAUACCGGAUAUGAAAUCUGCGGGCAUCCGCGGAUUUGGAAAGUUUUUCGGUUGAAGAUGAUCUCGCGGCCUAUCAGCUUGUUGGUGAGGUAAUGGCUCACCAAGGCGACGACGGGUAGCCGGCCUGAGAGGGCGACCGGCCACACUGGGACUGAGACACGGCCCAGACUCCUACGGGAGGCAGCAGUGGGGAAUAUUGGGCAAUGGAGGAAACUCUGACCCAGCGACGCCGCGUGCGGGAUGAAGGCCUUCGGGUUGUAAACCGCUUUCAGCAGGGAAGAAGCGAAAGUGACGGUACCUGCAGAAGAAGCACCGGCUAACUAUGUGCCAGCAGCCGCGGUAAUACAUAGGGUGCAAGCGUUGUCCGGAAUUAUUGGGCGUAAAGAGCUCGUAGGUGGUUCGUCACGUCGGAUGUGAAACUCUGGGGCUUAACCCCAGACCUGCAUUCGAUACGGGCGGGCUUGAGUAUGGUAGGGGAGUCUGGAAUUCCUGGUGUAGCGGUGGAAUGCGCAGAUAUCAGGAGGAACACCAAUGGCGAAGGCAGGACUCUGGGCCAUUACUGACACUGAGGAGCGAAAGCGUGGGGAGCGAACAGGAUUAGAUACCCUGGUAGUCCACGCCGUAAACGGUGGGCACUAGUUGUGGGGACCCUUCCACGGUCUCUGCGACGCAGCUAACGCAUUAAGUGCCCCGCCUGGGGAGUAC
rnacentral:rRNA from 1 species